CUCGAACUCAGAAAUCAGCCUGCCUCU
rnacentral:piRNA from 1 species